CAACUCGACUACAUGAAGCUGGAAUCGCUAGUAAUCGCGGAUCAGAAUGCCGCGGUGAAUACGUUCCCGGGUCUUGUACACACCGCCCGUCACACCAUGGGAGUUGGGAAUACCCGAAGCCUGUGAGCUAACUGUAAAGAGGCAGCAGUCGAAGGUAGAAUCAAUGAUUGGGGUGAAGUCGUAACAAGGUAGC
rnacentral:rRNA from 1 species